GCUGCAGCUGACUGGCACAUGACAGCAUCUCAUUUUUGCAGGUAUCUGUGUGAUGCUGGACAAGGUUGAAGGCAGCGGUGGACGUGGAACAUGGAUCUCAUUAUUUGUGAGCUGCUGGA